AUAUAUAGGUACACACCUAAGACUUAAAUGCUUUGUGUCUCUUUCUUAUAGGUACAAUAUAUCUCGCGGAAGAAGGCUACUGAUUCUUUGUUUGUAUAGGGGCAAUUAUGUCAUAUUUAA
rnacentral:sRNA from 1 species